UUUUUUUUUUUUUUUUUUUUUUUUUUUUCUCUGCAAAAGGCAUUGCUAAUCUGAGCUUUGGAGAUCUCCCAAAGCCAGGUCAAAAGAAGCUCAUUCAUCAUUAAAACAACACAGUCUAUAUUAAAGGGAAGAGGGACUGUAAAUGGGGAAUCUUUAGAAAAUGGGAUUAUUACGCCUUGCUCUGAGCUGUUGAUCACCUCAGCCUUUCCACUCCUCCUUUCAACAUGCUGCCAGUGGUGCUGGGUACAACAAAUUUCUCCUGGUUCCUGGGGGGAAUGUACCAUGCAGGAGCUGGGUCAGGCAGACUGCUGGGGCCUGAGCACAUCUUUACAAUGUGGUGCUCAUUUUUACUCUCAUCACUGGAGCUCUUGUGUUUCAAGUUAGGUCAGCUAUGGCUACUUCUAGUUUGCUUGCUGCUGUGAUCUCUAUUUAUCCCAUUAGGAAGGAAAAUAUCUUGUUUUAUGAGCCAGAGGUCUUGUAAAACUUUCUUCCUCUCAUGUGUUAAAAUGAAAUAAUAAAGUAUUGGUUUUACUGGAGAGAUCUUAAUAUUUCUCCAGAUUAUAUAAUGCACUAAAUAAUACACAAAAAUUACUAAUAUGGAAAAUAUUAGGAAAGCCUAUUUCGUGGUUUAAAUUGCAUUCCUUUAUGGCCCAGGUAAGUGUGUCAGCUACUUCCUUUAAUUGUGUUUUUAAGACUUUGAAUUUACACUUUAUGUAUUUUCUAUUUUCUUGUAAUUCCCAUUUACCAAUGCAAAAUUAACACUUCUUUUCCCUGCUGAGUUUACUGCUAUUGAUUUUUUCUUUAGUUUUCUAAUUUUGCAAACUUUAAUGAUGUUUCCUUUUUUUUCUCUGUAGGUUUCUAUAGUGUCCAUGCCUGUUCAGAGGGAUUAUAGCCCGUAAAUGCUUAAUUUCAGAGUCCAAAGACAUAUAAUUUCAGACAGAGCUAGGACUCAUGUGAUCUCUGAGUCAAACUGCAGAGAACAAUUGGAUGCCAUGGCAUUUAGCAGUCAGACUCUUGGGUGUUGUCUCAUCACAGAUGAGAGCAAGGCUGAAGCUGCCUCCAGCUUUGCGUGGGUGUUCCUGCUGCCUUCUGGGGCCAUUGGAAGCAGUGGAUGCCUGAGGCUGCCCUGCAUGGCAAAGCCUUGGGAUUGGGACAUCCAGGGAAUGCCCCCACUGCCUUCCUGCCUGCCUUGGUGCUGGUGGUGUCUCCUGGGGGCCUGCAAGCACGUAGCUGGGGACUGGAGGUGGCACUGGUGUUGGUGUGAGGAUUGGCAGCCCCAAAGGGCUGGGGCACAGUGCAAACCCUGCUGGGGUUUGGUUCCUGGGGGCAGCCUGGCCUCAUUAGACCAGCUUGUCACAUCCUGGUUAGAUUGAUUCCUUCAGAUGCUCUGCAAUGAUCCCUUUCAGCAGAGGAAGAGGAUUUGCCUUUGCAUCCCUGCAUGUGAGGGUGCCCAGGCUUGGGUGGAAGGGUGCACAGGGAGCAGCACCCUCUGCAAGAGAGAUGGAUUUUCUGUCCUGGCAAGUGGGGAGCAGAGUGAGGGGACAGAGGUGUCCAGGUGAGCCUGAGCGAGCUGGUGCACACAGCCAGGUCCCGGGUGUGCAGUUCUGUGCUCUGUACCAGACCACCAGAACCUUUGGAGUGGUACUGGGGCAGGAGUCAUAUUCCACUGACUGUUGCGAGGUUGGCUGAAUGUCCUUCUCCUUGCAGAUCAGCUUCAGGAACAUGCUGUAGGUCUGGAGAUUGGAAUGGAGAUUAUAGCUAGUAAUUUUAAGCUUUAGGAGGUAAGAACUAAACCUAUGCUGGCCAGACCUGAAUAGUCUGGUGUAAAUGAAGAUGACAAUCCCCUGUUUUCUACUGUGUGAUGAGGCUUCCUCAGAAGGUCCAAAAUGCUCAACAGCUCAGGGAAGAGCAGACAGAUGUUGCCAGGGGCUCAACUCUUGCAGUUAUUUUGCCCAGAUGAACAGCAGUGAUCUACCAGGUGGCCUAAAUGGAGUGGCCCAGUGCUCCUUGCUGCUGAGGGUCGAUUUCCAUGAGACUGGGAAAAGGCUGGAGAGAGAUGUGGCCUCCUGGUGCAGUCUUUGGGCCUUGACUCUCAAGAACAAGCACAAAGUUGUUCAUGCAGAUGCUUUUCAAAUGAAUAAAUGCCAAUAAGUGCCUCUGCAGGGUACGUUAGUCUGGUACUUGUCCAAGGUAUUAAGAAGGAGAUUUGCUUUUGACUGUGUAACCCGCCCUUGCAGAGCAAACCCACUGAGGUUUUUUUUUUUUUUCUCUCUUUCAUGAUAAGCACAAGAGCCUGUGGUGGUCACAAGAUCCCUUCAGGAACAUCCUGACUCAAGAAGCUUGUUGUGCUGUUUGUAAAAGUCCAAUUUUCUUUUUGAGGAAAAUCAAUACAGCUCAUUACUUAGCCGAGAAAAGAUCCCUGUGUCAGUUCCACUGGAAGGCAGGCCUGGAGCAGGCUCAGCCAGUGUUUGUAAGCCAGACAACAGCCUGAUAGCCUUUGUCUUGAAUUAUCUGUUCCCAACUAAAACUGCCCCACUGAGAAGACCGAUCAGCUUCCCGCAGACCACCAAAAAGCUGCUCAACAAGUGAAUACCACCAGCCUUGGGCAAAAUACGCACUGGAAAAAAAAAGUAACAACCCAGAAGACACUUUUUUACACCUGCUGUGAUGACUGACACAGCUGUGUUCCCAUCCCUGUCAACCUCUGGUUGUAUUAAGCUGAGCAUUUCAUCACCAUGGGCUGAAACUCUAUGAGUGGAGAGUGUUCACACACCAUCAGGUAGGAGUGGAAGAAGCCCCUGAGCACAGUGGGAGUGAGGCACCAACAGCCCCCAUCCCUGGUCCCUCCUUCAGUGCUCUGCCCAGGAGCCCUUCUGCCACUGCUGUGCUACAUCUGUGUUGAGACCACAGCACAUUUCCACAAAAA